CCUUUCCUCUUUUCAUUGAUAGGUCCAAAAGAGAUCCUUAUUUCACCUUUGUUUAUAGGUAUUCAACGUGAGGAAUUUUAUACUUUUGGAGUGGAGCUAUCAAAUAUAUAUUAUGAGUUUCUAAAACAUCUAUUAUAAGGAGUUGAACAGAGCUUCCUCUGCCCCGGCAGAUUCAGAGAAAACCAACCAGCAGAGAACAUGAACAAAUAUAGUGACGAGAAAGGGUGGAGCUGAGUACACCACACAUGGAUAUGAUGGUCUCCCCUAUGUUCUUUUUGGCAAUCCACUUAAUCACUGACUCAACUUUGUAUGGGUGAGCUAACAAGCCCGUGUUAUGUCUUCCCUCUUUCUUUGGCGCUUCCGAUGCACAAAUGGUGGCGGUGAAGCAGCAGGCCCGAGAGAGCGUGCAGGGGAGGAAGGAGUUCCUGGUGGAGGUGCUGAUACUGGCGGUGCUCAGCCACCCUAACUUCGUCAGCCUGAUCGGCUUCUGCGCGCAGGGGA